GUGACUGCGUACCUUUUGUAUAAUGGGUCAGCGACUUAUAUUCUGUAGCAAGGUUAACCGUAUAGGGGAGCCGUAGGGAAACCGAGUCUUAACCGGGCGUUAAGUUGCAGGGUAUAGACCCGAAACCCGGUGAUCUAGCCAUGGGCAGGUUGAAGGUUGGGUAACACUAACUGGAGGACCGAACCGACUAAUGUUGAAAAAUUAGCGGAUGACCUGUGGCUGGGGGUGAAAGGCCAAUCAAACCGGGAGAUAGCUGGUUCUCCCCGAAAGCUAUUUAGGUAGCGCCUCGUGAAUUCAUCUCCGGGGGUAGAGCACUGUUUCGGCUAGGGGGCCAUCCCGGCUUACCAACCCGAUGCAAACUGCGAAUACCGGAGAAUGUUAUCACGGGAGACACACGGCGGGUGCUAACGUCCGUCGUGAAGAGGGAAACAACCCAGACCGCCAGCUAAGGUCCCAAAGUCAUGGUUAAGUGGGAAACGAUGUGGGAAGGCCCAGACAGCCAGGAUGUUGGCUUAGAAGCAGCCAUCAUUUAAAGAAAGCGUAAUAGCUCACUGGUCGAGUCGGCCUGCGCGGAAGAUGUAACGGGGCUAAACCAUGCACCGAAGCUGCGGCAGCGACACUGUGUGUUGUUGGGUAGGGGAGCGUUCUGUAAGCCUGUGAAGGUGGCCUGUGAGGGUUGCUGGAGGUAUCAGAAGUGCGAAUGCUGACAUAAGUAACGAUAAAGCGGGUGAAAAGCCCGCUCGCCGGAAGACCAAGGGUUCCUGUCCAACGUUAAUCGGGGCAGGGUGAGUCGACCCCUAAGGCGAGGCCGAAAGGCGUAGUCGAUGGGAAACGGGUUAAUAUUCCCGUACUUGGUGUUACUGCGAAGGGGGGACGGAGAAGGCUAUGUUGGCCGGGCGACGGUUGUCCCGGUUUAAGCGUGUAGGUGUGUGUUCCAGGUAAAUCCGGUUCACUUUAACACUGAGGCGUGACGACGAGGCACUACGGUGCUGAAGCAACAAAUGCCCUGCUUCCAGGAAAAGCCUCUAAGCAUCAGGUAACAUCAAAUC
rnacentral:rRNA from 2 species